AAGACUAUAGACCUGCGGAGUACCUGCGGAGGGAUCAUUAUUGAGGUUUUUCCCUAUUUUUUAGGGACCUCCCACCCUAUGUCUAUUGACCUGUUGCUUCGGCGAGUCGACUGCUUUUUUAAGUGGCCGUCGACUUUUAGUGGGCGUGUGCUCGCCGAAGAAUCUUUACUCUGAUUUUGAAGUUGUCUGAGUCUAAAAUAAAAAUCAAAACUUUCAGCAAUGGAUCUCUAGAUCGGAAGA
rnacentral:misc_RNA from 1 species